UCCAGACUCCUACGGGAGGCAGCAGUGGGGAAUAUUGGGCAAUGGGCGCAAGCCUGACCCAGCAACGCCGCGUGAAGGAAGAAGGCUUUCGGGUUGUAAACUUCUUUUAAGAGGGAAGAGUAGAAGACGGUACCUCUUGAAUAAGCCACGGCUAACUACGUGCCAGCAGCCGCGGUAAUACGUAGGUGGCAAGCGUUGUCCGGAUUUACUGGGUGUAAAGGGCGUGUAGCCGGGUUGACAAGUCAGAUGUGAAAUCCUGCGGCUUAACCGCAGAACUGCAUUUGAAACUGUUGAUCUUGAGUACUGGAGAGGCAGACGGAAUUCCUAGUGUAGCGGUGGAAUGCGUAGAUAUUAGGAGGAACAUCAGUGGCGAAGGCGACUUUCUGGACUGUAACUGACGCUGAGGCACGAAAGUGUGGGGAGCAAACAGGAUUAGAUACCCCGGUACC
rnacentral:rRNA from 1 species